CGCGAACGCUGGCGGCAGGCUUAACACAUGCAAGUCGAGCGGGCGUAGCAAUACGUCAGCGGCAGACGGGUGAGUAACGCGUGGGAACAUACCUUUUGGUUCGGAACAACACAGGGAAACUUGUGCUAAUACCGGAUAAGCCCUUACGGGGAAAGAUUUAUCGCCGAAAGAUUGGCCCGCGUCUGAUUAGCUAGUUGGUGAGGUAACGGCUCACCAAGGCGACGAUCAGUAGCUGGCUGAGAGGAUGAUCAGCCACAUUGGGACUGAGACACGGCCCAAACUCCUACGGGAGGCAGCAGUGGGGAAUAUUGGACAAUGGGCGCAAGCCUGAUCCAGCCAUGCCGCGUGAGUGAUGAAGGCCCUAGGGUUGUAAAGCUCUUUGUGCGGGAAGAUAAUGACGGUACCGCAAGAAUAAGCCCCGGCUAACUUCGUGCCAGCAGCCGCUGU
rnacentral:rRNA from 1 species